rnacentral:rRNA from 1 species
CCUACGGGAGGCAGCAGUGGGGAAUCUUGGACAAUGGGCGCAAGCCUGAUCCAGCCAUGCCGCGUGUGUGAAGAAGGCCUUCGGGUUGUAAAGCACUUUCGGACGGAACGAAAUCGCAGGGGGUAAUAUCCUCUGUGGAUGACGGUACUGUAAGAAGAAGCACCGGCUAACUACGUGCCAGCAGCCGCGGUAAUACGUAGGGUGCGAGCGUUAAUCGGAAUUACUGGGCGUAAAGCGUGCGCAGGCGGUCUCGCAAGUCGAGUGUGAAAUCCCCGAGCUUAACUUGGGAAUUGCGCUCGAAACUAUGAGGCUAGAGUGUGGCAGAGGGAGGUGGAAUUCCACGUGUAGCGGUGAAAUGCGUAGAGAUGUGGAGGAACACCGAUGGCGAAGGCAGCCUCCUGGGCUAACACUGACGCUCAUGCACGAAAGCGUGGGGAGCAAACAGGAUUAGAUACCCUGGUAGUCCACGCCCUAAACGAUGAUGACUAGUUGUUGGGGGGGUUAAAUCCCUCAGUAACGCAGCUAACGCGUGAAGUCAUCCGCCUGGGGAGUACGGUCGCAAGAUUAAAACUCAAAGGAAUUGACGG